rfam:Gloeocapsa sp. PCC 7428, complete genome.
GGGCGGUUAGCUCAGUUGGUAGAGCGCCUGCCUUACAAGCAGGAUGUCACUGGUUCGAGUCCAGUACCGCCCA